rnacentral:rRNA from 1 species
AAUGAACGCUGGCGGCAGGCCUAAAACAUGCAAGUCGAACGCCCUAGCAAUAGGGAGUGGCGCACGGGUGAGUAACAUGUGGGAAUAUGCCUUUUGGUACGGAACAACGUUUGGAAACGAACGCUAAUACCGUAUGGUCCCUCCGGGGUAAAGAUUUAUCGCCAAAAGAUUAGCCCGCACUAGAUUAGCUAGUUGGUAAGGUAAUGCCUACCAAGCCGACGAUCCAUAGCUGGUUUGAGAGGAUGAGCAGCCACACUGGGACUGAGACACGGCCCAGACUCCUACGGGAGGCAGCAGUGGGGAAUCUUAGACAAUGGGGGAAACCCUGAUCUAGCCAUGCCGCGUGAUCGAUGAAGGCCUUAGGGUUGUAAAGAUCUUUCAGUGGGGAAGAUAAUGACUGUACCCACAGAAGAAGCCCCGGCUAACUCCGUGCCAGCCGCCGCAGUAAAAC